rnacentral:rRNA from 1 species
UUACCUUCGGGUAAUGAGGAUGGCGGACGGGUGAGUAACGCGUAAGGAACUUGCCUCUUGGUCUGGGACAACUGUUGGAAACGACAGCUAAUACCGGAUAUUAUGAGAUUCUCGCAUGGGAAACUUAUGAAAGCUAUAUGCGCCAAGAGAGAGCCUUGCGUUCCAUUAGCUAGUUGGUGGGGUAACGGCCCACCAAGGCGACGAUGGAUAGCCGGCCUGAGAGGGUGAACGGCCACAAGGGGACUGAGACACGGCCCUUACUCCUACGGGAGGCAGCAGUGGGGAAUAUUGGACAAUGGGCCACAAGCCUGAUCCAGCAAUUCUGUGUGCACGAUGAAGGUCUUCGGAUUGUAAAGUGCUUUCAGUUGGGAAGAAGAAAGUGACGGUACCAACAGAAGAAGCGACGGCUAAAUACGUGCCAGCAGCCGCGGUAAUACGUAUGUCGCAAGCGUUAUCCGGAUUUAUUGGGCGUAAAGCGCGUCUAGGCGGAAAAAUAAGUCUGAUGUUAAAAUGCGGGGCUCAACUCCGUAUUGCGUUGGAAACUGUUUUUCUAGAGUACUGGAGAGGUGGGCGGAACUACAAGUGUAGAGGUGAAAUUCGUAGAUAUUUGUAGGAAUGCCGAUGGAGAAGUCAGCUCACUGGACAGAUACUGACGCUAAAGCGCGAAAGCGUGGGGAGC